CUCCACCGCGGCCUGGGUCCCGCCCACCACGGCCUGAGUCCCGCCUUUGCCCCACUCCUCCUCUUCCUGAGAACAUUCUCUAGGAGUCUUUCAUCAACUCCCGUGGUUCAUCCACCCACCACGCAGGUCUCCUCCAUCUGACCCUGAACUCCGGCUUGGGCAGCCACGUGCUCCUGUGCGUCCCCUGCACCAGUGUCUCUAGGCCCCUCUCACUCACCGAGUCCCAACUCAUUGCUCUAUUUCCCCAAACCCUCCUUCCCUGUUCUUCCAUGUUCUCCAUCUCAGGGGCAGCGUCACCAACCACCCAGUUAUUCGGCCAGACGCCCUUGGCACGUACCUUGCCCCAUCUCUCCCCUUAUCCCCUACAGCCCAUCAGUCCCCAGCCUUGUGCCUUCGGCCCCUGCCCUUCUCUGCCCCGUCCCCUCCUCUCUGUCCCCUUGGCCUGGCUCCAGCCCAGACGUCCUUCUCUCUCUCUGGACCCUCGCCCCUCCUGUCCUGGAGGACAGCCUCCUGUCGGUCACCACGUGGCCCCAGAGGGUCUCUCUGCACUUGGAGCUCGCCCCGCCCCUCCCCUGCUCACAGCCUUCCCUUGCAGCUCCCCGUCACCCCUGGGCAAGGUCCCAGCUUCUCAGCCUGCAGUUUGAAGCCUUUUGAGACUCCCCCGCUGGAACAAGCCUCCCCUCAGACCCCCUUCUCAGGGGGACUGCAGACUGCCCACCUCGGGAGAGGGACUGGACUCGUGGUGCCUGAAGGGGCUCCCCAUGAGGUGCUAGCCCUCCUCUAACUUAGUCUCACCAUAGCCUCCGUUCUUUCUGGGACCGGACAAGCUGCUGUUUCAGGGCGCUGGGUCUGGAUCCAGACAGCAUGGGCGCAGAUCUCUGUUCUACUACUUACUAUUUUGGGAGACCCUGAUGGGGGAGCUGAGGCCCCGGGAGAGGAAAUGGAUGUGUGAGACCCUGGAAUGAGAGUGUGAUGUCAAGCAAAGAGAAUGCCACACACAGCCGAGUUCUUCUCUGAGACUUUGUUUCCUGGGCUGUGCUAGGGGAAGCUGGAGGGGAGGAGGCAGAAAAACCUGCAUCUUCUCUUCUUUUGUCCUGCCAAUAGGUGGCACCAACUGUGCAUUUGUUCAUAGGAGAAGCUGAAGACCUUAGAAAACCUGAUCAACAUGAAGUGUGGCAUGAAGUAGUACUCGAUAAAGAGAAAACGUGAUGGUAAUCUUGAAGAAAAACACCAUAUUCAUCCCUGUAUUUCCUUCUGUGUCCCUCUCUGUCCCUGGGGGAGGGCUUCUCUUACCAUCUCAGGCUGUCAUUGUGGGGAUUCUGGAACUCUGGAGUGGAAGGAUUCCCAAGACCUUUCCAGGGGUCUGAAAGGUCAAACACUAGUUUCAUAAUAAUCUGUACACAUUGUUUUCUUUUUUUUUUUUGAGAUGGAGUUUCACUCUUGUUGUCCAGGCUGGAGUGCAAUGGCACG